UGGGGAAUUUUGGACAAUGGGCGCAAGCCUGAUCCAGCCAUGCCGCGUGCGGGAAGAAGGCCUUCGGGUUGUAAACCGCUUUUGUCAGGGAAGAAAUCUUCUGAGUUAAUACCUCGGGAGGAUGACGGUACCUGAAGAGUAAGCACCGGCUAACUACGUGCCAGCAGCCGCGGUAAUACGUAGGGUGCAAGCGUUAAUCGGAAUUACUGGGCGUAAAGCGCGCGCAGGCGGUUUUGUAAGACAGAGGUGAAAUCUCCGGGCUCAACCUGGGAACUGCCUUUGUGACUGCAAGGCUUGAGUGCGGCAGAGGGGGGAUGGAAUUCCGCGUGUAGCAGUGAAAUGCGUAGAUAUGCGGAGGAACACCGAUGGCGAAGGCAAUCCCCUGGGCCUGCACUGACGCUCAUGCACGAAAGCGUGGGGAGCAAACAGGAUUAGAUACCCUGGUAGUCCACGCCCUAAAACGAUGUCAACUGGUUGUUGGGAAGGUUCCUUCUCAGUAACGUAGCUAACGCGUGAAGUUGACCGCCUGGGGAGUACGGCCGCAAGGUUGAAACUUAAAUGAAUUGACGGGGU
rnacentral:rRNA from 1 species